UUAGAGUUUGAUCAUGGCUCAGGAUGAACGCUAGCGGGAGGCUUAAUACAUGCAAGUCGUACGGUAAGAUUCCUUCGGGGAUCCUAGAGUGGCGAACGGGUGAGUAACACGUAUGCAAUCUGCCUCUAACAGGGAGAUAGCCCUUCGAAAGGAGGAUUAAUAUCCCAUAAUAUUAUUGGACGGCAUCGUCUGAUAAUUAAAACUCCGGUGGUUAGAGAUGAGCAUGCGUCCCAUUAGCUAGUUGGUGAGGUAAAGGCUCACCAAGGCAACGAUGGGUAACUGGUCUGAGAGGAUGAUCAGUCACACGGGCACUGAGACACGGCCCGACUCCUACGGGAGGCAGCAGUAGGGAAUAUUGGGCAAUGGAGGCAACUCUGACCCACCAUCCCGCGUGCAGGAAGAAGGUCCUCUGGAUUGUAAACUGCUUUUGUCAGGGAAGAAAAAGUUCUAUUUAUAGAAUUCUGACGGUCCUAACGAAUAAGCACCGGCUAACUUCCGUGCCAGCAGCCCGCGGUAAUACCGAGGGUGCAAGCCGUUAUCCGGAUUCACUGGGUUUNAAAGGUGCGUAGGCGGUCAUUGUAAGUCAAGUGGUGAAAAGCUUUCANCUUAACUGGGAAACUUGCCAUUGNAACUGGGGUGACUUGAGUACCAAUUGAAGUGGGCCGGAAUCAUUAUGUACCGGUGAAAUGCUUAAAUUUAAUGUANAACACCGAUGCNAAGGCACUUACUAAAUUGCAANNNNNNNNNNNNNNNNNNNNNNNNNNNCGUGGGUAAGCGAAACCAGGAUUAAAAUACCCCUGGUUAGUCCACGCCCNUUAAACGAUGAAAUACUUCCAAUGUAUGGUANGUUGGGUACUUAUGCGUCCAAAGCGAAAAGCGUUAAGUAUUCCCACCUUGGGGAGUACGGCCGCAAGGUUAAAACUCAAAAGGAAUUGACGGGGGCCCGCACAAGCGGAGGAGCAUGUGGUUUAAUUCGAUGAUACGCGAGGAACCUUACCUUGGGCUAGAAUGCGAGUGACCGCUCCGGAAACGGAGCUUCCCUUCGGGGCACAAAGCAAGGUGCUGCAUGGCUGUCGUCAGCUCGUGCCGUGAGGUGUUGGGUUAAGUCCCGCAACGAGCGCAACCCCUAUCUUUAGUUGCCAGCACGUAAUGGUGGGCACUCUAGAGAAACUGCCUGCGUAAGCAGUGAGGAAGGCGGGGAUGACGUCAAGUCAUCAUGGCCCUUACGCCCAGGGCUACACACGUGCUACAAUGGCCGGUACAGAGGGUUGCCACUAUGUGAAUAGGCGCUAAUCUCUUAAAGCCGGUCUCAGUUCGGAUUGGAGUCUGCAACUCGACUCCAUGAAGGUGGAUUCGCUAGUAAUCGCAUAUCAGAUAUGAUGCGGUGAAUACGUUCCCGGGCCUUGUACACACCGCCCGUCAAGCCAUGGGAGUUGAAGGUACCUGAAGUCGAUAACCGCAAGGAGUCGCCCAAGGUAAAUUCGAUGACUNGGGCUAAGUCGUAACAAGGUAGCC
rnacentral:rRNA from 1 species